rnacentral:rRNA from 1 species
UACGUAGGGUGCGAGCGUUAAUCGGAAUUACUGGGCGUAAAGCGUGCGCAGGCGGUUUUGUAAGCCAGAUGUGAAAUCCCCGGGCUUAACCUGGGAAUGGCAUUUGGGACUGCAAGGCUGGAGUUUGGCAGAGGAGACUGGAAUUCCUGGUGUAGCAGUGAAAUGCGUAGAUAUCAGGAGGAAUACCGAUGGCGAAGGCAGGUCUCUGGGCCGAUACUGACGCUGAGGAGCGAAAGCGUGGGGAGCGAACAGG